AAAUAACCUCAUUUGUCAGGAGAAAGAAAGGUACAUACAAAGUAGUAAAUUAUGAGUUUUGACAAAAGUAAUAGGCAUUUUUAGUUUUGGAUGAUGGUUUUAAUUUCUCCAAUAGUCUUCAUGAAGGUUUUGUAGCUGAUGGCAAUGGAGCUUUUCCUUUCCACUUAGCAGCCUUUUCCAUUUUCAUCUGUAAAUUUAACAUAUUUAUUGAUAUAAUAACUUGUAAACCAUUCUAAAGAAAAAAAACUUGCAGAAAACUCAUUCAGAUUCAUGUCACAGCCAUUCCACAGUUAUUAAGCUGCUAAAUACUAAAGCCAAAAUCUGUUAAAGGGACAUAAUUACACAUUUUCAGAUGGUUUUAUUUUAAUUUUACAGAAGCAUUUUAAUAAAAGUAAUAUAUGAAUAUUGCUUUAGAGAAAACAAUUUCAAUUGCCACUAAAAUUACAAGUGCUUAAAAUGACUAAACUUACAUCCAGCCUAUGCACAUUCCCUACAGAGUUACAUAAUGCACCUAAUCCAGCUGGAUUCUCUCUGGAACGUGGACUGCUUUAAGGAUAGUUUUCUAUAAUUCUGGUUUCUAUAUUCCCACAGUUACCUUUCUGAAAGUCUUUUCCUCCUCCAUUGUAGUUAAAGCAAAAAAGCAGCCACUGUGCCCAGAUGUGUAUUGGGUAAUUUUAACGAGUCUGGAUACACCUAAAAGCCUCUAAGAAGAAUAAAUAAUACAUAUUAAGAAUUCAAAAUAGGCACCAGGCGCGGUGGCUCAUGCCUGUAAUCCCAGCACUUUGCGAGGCCGAGGCGGGUGGAUCACGAGGUCAGGAGAUCCAGACCAUCCUGGCUAACACAGUGAAACCCCGUCUCUACUAAAAAUACAAAAAAUUAGCUGGGCAUGGUGGUGGGCGCCUGUGGUCCCAGCUACUCGGGAGGCUGAAGCAGGAGAAUGGCGUGAACCCGGGAGGCGGAGCUUGCAGUGAGCCGAGAUCGCGCCACUGCACUCCAGCCUGGGCGACAGACCAAGACUCCGUCUCAAAAAAAAAAAAAAAAAAAGAGAAUUCAAAAUAUAUUCAAUCUUUAUUUGGCAAAUAUUUUUAAAUAAAAAAUAAAGGUACAUGUAUAAAAAAAGAAUUCAAGAUACAUAUAAUUUACAAAUCUGCUGAUAUUGAUGUUUAUUACUGACAAUUUUAUCUGCGUAUUUAUCCAAUCUUUAUGGCCUUCAUAAAUCAACCAGUGUAUUAAAUAUCAUGUUAUUCUUUAGCCCUGUUUCUGUGUAUUCUAAUAAGCCUCAAGGCCUAACACCAACUGUAAGUAAAGACUUUAUAAAUUAUUUUCAAGGAUGUUCCACAUUCAAUGUAUAAUCAUUCUAGUGCUUUUGCUACAAGUAAAUGCUUAGUGCAACUGAAUUUCCUCAAAAACCUACCCUUUCCUGGUAUCGUCUUUCAAAGAAAGCCAUAUCAUCCUCUUCAGGUCUCCUUAAUGAAGAAACUUGACUACUUGUACCUACUAACAAGGAAAAAAAAUCUAAGUAAUGUAUUUAUAUCAUUACAUAUUCCCCUGAAAUAAAAGAAAGAAAAGUUUUCUCCUGCUCGGUGAUAAUGUUUUAUUUUUCAAACCAAAAAUGGCCUAAAUGAAUAAUUGGUCCUACUACCUCAUUCUCUUUUAGAGAGAAUGGCAUCACAGGACAAAAGUGUUUUUCACUAGCAAACAUUCUCCAAAUAUUCCACAGUUCAUAUUAAAUAGCACCAUAUAGCUAUUCCGUAUAAGAGUACACUUAGUUUUGUCCAACUACUUUUUACAUUUUAUAACUAGAAAUCCAUGUUACACUUUGAGAUAAUGCACAAAAGUAAUUAUUGAGGCUUGGUAUAGGCAACCAUAAGUAAUGAUAGUACCUGCUUCAAAAUCUUUCAAAACUGAACUAUUUUAUCCAUUUUUUACGGUAAUCACUUUGUCAAAUGGAUCAAGCACUAAUUUAUAUGCUGAAAGGAACUUUUGAAAUUGCUUCAGUAGGAAAACAUCUGGUUUUCUUGGCAGGUAGCCAAGAGCCUAAUUGCAUAGAAAAGUACACCUUCAUUGCGAGUGAAGGUCUUCACUGGGUCCCUUCAUUUCCAAAGCAGACUAGCAACCUGAACACUUGCGCUUCUAGUUUCUAAAGCAUAUGAAUUCACCCUCAAUCAGCAACAUGUAACUCCAGACAAUCACCACAGAGUAUAGCUACAGUCUGUCGAUUAUCUUUGACAAAAGUUUUAUUGAGAAGAGUAAGAAGGGAUUCUUAUUUGAAUAAGUGUUAUCCACCCAUUCCUCUGGAAACUCUGGGUCUAUCCCUGGAUCAUGUGGGACCAUUUGAGCCCAGCCUCUUCCAGACUCAUCUACAUUGAGUUGCAUUAUAAUGGCAUAUUACCAUUUAUCUAGUAAAAUGGUAUAUCACAACUCUUCAAAGGUGACUAUCAGGCCAGGUGCACUGAUUCACGCCUGUAGUCCCAGCACUUUGGGAGGUGGAGGCAGGUGGAUUGCUUGAACUCAAGAGUUCGAGACCAGCCUGGGCAACAUGGCAAAACCCUGUCUCUACAAAAAAUUCAAAAUUUAGCUGGACAUGGUGGUGCAUCCCUAUAGUCCCAGCUACUCAGGUGGCUGAGGUGGGAGAUCACUUGAGCCAGGUAGGUGGAGGUUGCAGUAAGCCAAGAUCACACCACUAUACUCCAGCCUGGGUAACAGAUCAAGACUCUGUCUCAAAAAAAAAAAAAAAAAAAAAAAAAGGAAAAGGUGACUAUCAGAAACAAGCAACUGUCUGCUGUAUUUGCUGAAAAAAAGCUUUUACCUUGGUCACUAAUCACUGAGGGUCACUAUACUGACUUAAAAUCCAGCAUGCCAGGCCAGGAGCAGUGACACAUAGCUAUAAUCCUAGUGCUUUGGGAAGCUGAGGCAGGAGGCUAGCUUGAGGCCAGGAGUUUGAGACCAGCCUAGUCAACAUAGCAAGACCCUGCUGCUGCAAAAAAAAAGUUUUUUUAAUUACCCAGGUGUGGGGGCACACCUGUACUCCUAGCUAUGUGGAAGGCUGAGGCAGGAAGAUCACUUGAGCCCUGGAGUUCAAGGUAACAGUGAGCCAUGAUCACACCACUGCACACCAGCUUGGACAACAGAGAGAGAACUUGUCUCAAAAAAAAAAAAAAAAAAAAUUCCAGCAUUGGUGUAACAUUCAUUAGCACUGAGGAACUCGGGCUUCCUCCUGUCUAAUAAAGAAAGCAUUUAAUUGACUGCACUUUCCUCUGUGUCUUGGCUGCCACUAAACUCAGUCAAAACUGAAGUUUAAACAAAGCAAUUACAUCAACCUUGAAAGCUGCCACAGCUGUGUCCUUUUCUUGGCUUCUUACUUGUAUAUAUAUUUUAUCAUUAUGUACUAAGUUGUAUGUUUUAAGGCAAGCAGCCUUAAAAUUCCUUGUGGGGAACGUCUAGGUGUAUGAAAAUACAGAUAAAGAAAAUUCUCAUUUUAAAAUAUUCUAAAAUACUAAAUUUUAAAUACCUAAUAAGUCAUACAAAUUCAUUCUUCCUGUUUUCAGUAAGGAAAAUACAGAAUACUGGUGCUUAAAAAUGAAUUCUACUUGCUCUUAAUUUAUAAAUGAUAAAACCCUGCUAACCUAUGGUUAUCACUGGAUUACGCCUCUUUGGGAAAACCCAAAGGCAAUUAGGCCGCCAGAAGGCCCUCUUAUUCAAACACCAGAGCAACAGCAUGUACCAGAACAAGGUUUAAAACUUCAAAUUAUAGUAGUAUCAGAAUCCUCGACAUUCUCGGAGUUAGCUAUUUUUCCCAAUACAAAAUGAAGUUGCUUGCUUUUUCUCAGUGUGUGGCUUACAUAAAAGAAAGUAAAAUGAUAGCUUAACUUGAAGUUAAAUUAUCGUAAUAAUGAAAAAAAGAGAGAUGCCUAGAAAACAAAUCAAAGCUCCAUAUUCCAAUUUACUACAUCCAAAAACAGUUCUAAACUUCAUUUCAUUACCAUCUGUUAACGUUUCUGGAGAAGAACUAGAUGAUGCUUGAAAUGCUUUUAGGAAUGGGCUGUCUACUGCCGUAAUGGGAGAUUCUAAAAAUUCAACUGAAGGUACACCUGAGAAAACAAUACAUGGAGAAUAAAAAUUAAAUAUUUACAGGGAUACAAACAAGUUAUUACUUCUAAUGUAAAAUAAAUUGGAACCUCAGCAGAAUUAUUAGAAAUUCUUUCUAUAAAAAAAAAAUUUUAGACUGGGUGUAAUGGCUCAUGCCUGUAAUGCCAACACUUUGGAAAGCCAAAGCAAGAGGAUUACUUGAGGCCAGGAGUUCAAGACCAGUCUUGGUAACAUAGGGAGACCCCAUCUCUACCAAAAAAAAAAAAAUACAUAAAUUAGUUGGACAUGGUGGUGUGUGCCUGUAGCCCUACCUACUUGGAAGGGUAAAGCAGGAAGAUCAUUUGAGCCCAGGAAUUUGAGGCUGCAGUGAGCUAUGAUCACAUCACUUCACUGGAUCCGGCCUGGGCAACACUGUGAGACUCUUUUUAUUUAGAUUUUUGUCUGACAUAUAAAGUAAAAGCAAAUGGGUAAAAGUAUUCUUCUGCACAUUUCUGAGAACUUUUUCACAGAAAAAAAGAAUAUUAUGUACCUAUGUUAGCAUAGAAGUUCAAAACCCUAAUAUAUAAUAGUUAUAAAACACUAUCAAAAGCAAGACAUUCACAAUAAGGAACCUCUGGCUGAAAAGGGUAGAAUAAGUGUAUUUUUACUCUAUUCCUUACUAGGAAACCAUCUAAAAACAAAGUAUGAAAAAUAAAGAAGAAAGCACCCUCUUCAAUGAAAUGAGGAAACAUCCACAACUCCAAACCAUAAACUACAAAGACUAAUUGCUAAAUAUAUUGACUUUUGGACCAAAAGGAAGGAAGCUGCAGAGAAAAUGUGUAGCUGCUCUAUCUUCUUCACAAACCACCACCUUUCCCCUACACUGCUAUCUCUACACCACAGGUGGUCCUAAUUGGGUUAGAAGUUAGCCCCAUCUUAUAACAUAAACAGUGUGGGACGAUUGCUCAGUCUCUCCCCGCUCCUGGCCCCAGUGGCUUCCAUGGGGCAUGUGGGAACAUGGGAGAAGGGGCUCUGGCCCACGCACGUCCUUGUGCUGCCCUCUGGCGGCUGCAUGUGCUACUGAUCUCAAAUGCUCAACUUGUAUUUAAUAAGUUGGUCUCUCAGCUUGAUAGGGCCUGGUAGCCUCAUGCUUGCUCCGACUAUAAGUACAGACUCCCUCAAUACCUGUCACUUCCUCUAUUGAGUCCCCGAGCUUAGGGAACCCACCUCCAGCUCUGCCCCCUGCUAUGAUAGAUGCAUGACUGGCCCACUGACUCACAGGUCAGCUGCCUUCCCACACCCCCAGAGAGCUGGGAAUUAUGGGCUCCUUCCACAUCAAAAAGGAACCAAAUUCCAGCAAGAGGUUUCCUCGGUCUAGGUAUCCACAUGGCUAAAAAUCUGGAGUCCCUCUGUCCCUAGGUUCCUCUAUACCUGAAAUCAGAACAAAAACAUCUUAUAUUUCCUCUCCUUACUCUCACCUUUCUUCACUCCACCUUCUUUCAUUGACCAAAAGGAAGAGGCUUUCUUUCCCUAUGAAAUCAUGUGUUACAUAAGGCAUUUUGGUCAACAAUGGACUGCAUAUACAAUGGUGGCCACAUAAGAUUGUAACAGAGCUGCCCUAUAAAAGUGUAACAUUUUAUUUAUUUACUUUGAGGCAGGGUGUUACUCUGUCACCCAGGCUGGAGGGCAAUGGUGCCAUCACAGCUCAUUGCAACCUCUGCAUCCAAAGCUCAGGUGAUCCUCUCACCUCAGCCCUCACCAAGUAGCUGGGAUUACAGGCACACACACAAUACCAGGCCCAGCUAAUUUUUUGUAUUUUUGUAGAGACAGGGUUUCGCCAUGUUGCCUAGGCUGGUCUCAAACUCCUGGGCUCAAGCGAUCUGCCUGCCUCAGCCUCCCAAAUGCUGGGAUUACAGGCAUAAGCCACUGCACACGGCCCAUUUUAUUUUUUAUGCCAUAUUUUUACUGUACCUUUUCUAUAUUUAGAAAAAUUUAGAUAUACAAAUGCUCACUAUUGUGUUACAAUUGUCUACAGCAUUCAGUACAGUAGCAUGAUGAACAAGUUUGUUGCCUAGGAACAAAAGGCUAUACCAUGUAGCUAGGUGUGUAGUAUGCUCUACCAUCUAGGUUUAUGUAAGUACACUCUAUGAUGUUCACAUAACGAACAUCAACUAACAAUGCAUUUUCCAGAAUGUAUCCCCAUCAUUUAGUGGCACAUGACUAUACCUUGAAGAUACUUAGUGUUAAAAUACUAGACGUCACUAAAGGGCAAAGAUGCCAGCUACCACCAUUAUUUAGCAUUGUUCUGGAAGUACUAGCCAUUUUGACUAGUCAAGAAUAAGAAGAGUCACAAAUAUUGGAAAGGAAGAGGAAAAAACAUUAUUUUUAUAAAAUAAACUAAAAAUUGAGUAAAAACUCUAAGUAAUAAGAAUGGUAACAAAAGCAAUGAAACACUUUUGCUUUUUUAUAAACAAAUAAUAAUCAGUAAGAAGAUAUAAUAGAAGAAAAAAUAUCUCAUGUAUGAUACCAAUGAAAAAAAAUUGGCCAGGAAUAGUGGCUUACACCUGUAAUCCCAGCUCUUUGGGAGGCCGAGGCGGGCAGAUCACCUGAGGUCAGGAGUUCAAGACCAGCCUGGCCAACAUGGUGAAACCAUGCCUCUACUAAAAAUACAAAAAUUAGCCAGGCAUGGUGGCAUGCGCCUGUAAUCCCAGCUACUCAGGAGGCUGAGGCAGGAGAAUCACUUGAACCCAGGAGGCAGAGAUUGCAGUGAGCCAAGGCACUCCAGCCUGGGAGACAGAGCAAGAUUCCAUCUCAAAAAAAGUUAAAUACCUAGAAAUAAACUUAAUAAGAUUGUGCAAGACUUCUGGGAAAACAACUUCAGAAUUCCACUUAGUUGCACAGAUGACAAAUAAAUGAAAAGACAAUACUGAAAAAUAUCAAUUCUACAUGGUGGCUCACACCUGUAGUCCCAGCUACUCAGGAGUCUGAGGUGGGAGGAUUACUUGACCUUCGGAGUUUGACACCAACCUGAGCAACAUAGUAAGACUCUGUCUCUAAAAAAAAUAUAAAAUGUAAAAUAUUAGCCAGGCAUACUGGCAUGCGCCCACAGGCACAGCUACUCGGGAGGUUGGGUGGGAGGACUGCUUAAGCCCAGGAGUUCAAGGCUGCGGUGAGCUAUAAUCAUACUACCGCAGUCCAGCCUGGAAAACAAAGCAAAACCCCAUCUUUAAAAAAAAAAUUAUUUCUACAUUCAUCUACAUAUUCAAUGUGAUCUCAAUUAAAAUAACAGAGUUUAUAAUACCUUAACAAAAU
rnacentral:lncRNA from 1 species